CCAGCUCACGAUCCACAAAUAGUUCAAGGAUAGAGACUCAAAAAAAAAGAGGAUACGAGUAAAUAAGCAAAACAGAUGAAGAAAUAAAAGGACCUUUUACCGACUUCAAUGGAAGAGAGUCGAGGGCUUCGACCUGCCCCGGCAACGGAUGGCGGCGUCUAGGGUUUAGGGCUUAGAGGAUGGGAAGGGAAAAAACUAGAUCACACCACGGC
rnacentral:lncRNA from 1 species